AUGGCGGCGGUGUUCCUCGCCGGUUCCAAGCGAGAUGGCGAGUUCUGGUUGGGUCUCUCCAUGGCGACGGUGGCGGGGCGCGAGGAGAGGUCGGGAGGUCCUGGCGGUGCCCGACCCCUGCGCGGGGGUGGGGAUGAGGUGCACGGCGGCAGGCGGCAUCAACUCUCCUGCGUGCGGCCAGAAAGAGAGGGAGAGAGAGAUGAGAGAGAGAGCCAGGAGGAAGAAGGGAAGGAAGGAGGCUUGAGGAAGGGGCGGCCGGAUCCUGCGAGGCUGGGUUGGAGCCCCGGUGGUCGUGCUGCUGCUGUUGGACGGCGGCCGAUGGGACAAGUCCCUAGGUAG
rnacentral:rRNA from 1 species